UCGGGAUAGCUCAGCUGGUANAGCAGAGGACUGAAAAUCCUCGUGUCA
rnacentral:tRNA from 2 species